GCGGGGAGGCCGGAUCUUGGGCUGUGUCCCGGCGCCCUGUGCUCCCGGCCUGCACUAUUGGAUUCGCGCUCCCGCCCCGCAGCCCCCU
rnacentral:pre_miRNA from 1 species